rnacentral:rRNA from 1 species
UGCAAGUCGAGCGGAACGAGUUAUCUGAACCUUCGGGGAACGAUAACGGCGUCGAGCGGCGGACGGGUGAGUAAUGCCUAGGAAAUUGCCCUGAUGUGGGGGAUAACCAUUGGAAACGAUGGCUAAUACCGCAUAAUGCCUACGGGCCAAAGAGGGGGACCUUCGGGCCUCUCGCGUCAGGAUAUGCCUAGGUGGGAUUAGCUAGUUGGUGAGGUAAUGGCUCACCAAGGCGACGAUCCCUAGCUGGUCUGAGAGGAUGAUCAGCCACACUGGAACUGAGACACGGUCCAGACUCCUACGGGAGGCAGCAGUGGGGAAUAUUGCACAAUGGGCGCAAGCCUGAUGCAGCCAUGCCGCGUGUGUGAAGAAGGCCUUCGGGUUGUAAAGCACUUUCAGUCGUGAGGAAGGUAGUGUAGUUAAUAGCUGCAUUAUUUGACGUUAGCGACAGAAGAAGCACCGGCUAACUCCGUGCCAGCAGCCGCGGUAAUACGGAGGGUGCGAGCGUUAAUCGGAAUUACUGGGCGUAAAGCGCAUGCAGGUGGUUUGUUAAGUCAGAUGUGAAAGCCCGGGGCUCAACCUCGGAAUUGCAUUUGAAACUGGCAGACUAGAGUACUGUAGAGGGGGGUAGAAUUUCAGGUGUAGCGGUGAAAUGCGUAGAGAUCUGAAGGAAUACCGGUGGCGAAGGCGGCCCCCUGGACAGAUACUGACACUCAGAUGCGAAAGCGUGGGGAGCAAACAGGAUUAGAUACCCUGGUAGUCCACGCCGUAAACGAUGUCUACUUGGAGGUUGUGGCCUUGAGCCGUGGCUUUCGGAGCUAACGCGUUAAGUAGACCGCCUGGGGAGUACGGUCGCAAGAUUAAAACUCAAAUGAAUUGACGGGGGGCCCGCACAAGCGGUG